GAAGACCCGCUGAACUGAAGCAUCUCAUUAAGCGGAGGAAAAGAAACUAACUAGGAUUCCCUUAGUAAAGGCGAUCGAAAAGGGAACAGCCCAACGUCUUAAUCCCGCAAGGGAAAUGUAGUCGGUUCACCUAUUGCACUGGUCUAAGUCAGAUGGAAUGCUGCGCGAUUCAGAGUAAAAGCCUCGUAUGACCAACCGCAAGCUUACGAUGGACCGGGGAGAGUCGGAUACUUUGAGAGUAGUGUCUUAAGGGGGUGGUAUGUCCCAUCCAAGGCUAAAUAACGUGAGGAGACCGAUAGAUUACAAGUAGUGUGAACGAAAGAUGAAAAGAACUCUAAAACAGAGGGUGAAAAGUUCCUGAACUUGCUUAGGGUUAAGGCUAUUUAUAGUACCCGUCUUGAAACACGGAUUAGGGAGUUUAUCUGUAGUGCGAGUCUUUGCACGUUAACUGUAAAGGCGUAGAGAAAGCAACUGGGCGUUUGCAUGGCUACUGAGCAUUACUGAUAGGACCCGAAAGGUGGUGAACUUUGCCUGCACAGGUUGAAGUCAGGGGAAACUCUGAUGGAGGACCGUACGGGUUAUUGAUGUGCAAAUCAUUUUUCUGAUGUAGGUAAAGGUGCGAAAGACUCAUCGAACCACCUAAUAGCUGGUUUCCUCCGAAGUUUCCCUCAGGAUAGCUGUAAUGCAUUUAGUUAAGGGGAGUAGAGAUAUGGGUAGAGGUGCAGGGAGCCUUCGGGUUCUCAACUUAUUUCCAAACUUCGAACCUCCUUGUUAGGCAUUUACCUAACUGGAAAUGCUUAAAUGAAUUAGCGUUACAAGUGGGCUCUGACCGGUAAGCGGUCAUGGCGAAAUGGGAUGAACCAUACGUCUGAAUAAGGUGCCGAAAUGUACUAUCACUGAUACCAUAAAGGGAGUCCAUGUAUUUAGACAGCAGGUCGGUGCCCCUAAAAGCAGGUAUCCGCUAAAGAGUGUGUUAAAACUCACCUGCCGAAUACUAGGGCCCCGAAAAUGAAUGGCGCAUAUAGUACUACCGAUCUCAGACAUCAGUUCUAUUGAACUGAGAGUAGGGGGAUGUGGACAUUUUUGUGAAGGUGCAAUGUGAGUUGGACUGGAAGAAUGUCUAUUACAGAUCCUAAUUGAAGUAGCGAUUAUCCAGGCUUGUAUCCUGGGGGCUGAUGAGGAGUAGGGUUUCUGGACAACUUAAACAGAUCCAGAGUUAGUCGAUCCUAAUCUCAAUAAUGGGAGAAAGGGAGUACAGUUGAUAUUCUGUAACUGACAACAGUUCGCGGCAACGCAUACUAUUUUUCUCCGCCAAUCUUAUACCGUUGGUAGGGAUCUCUUUCCUACAUGACAGUACUAAUACCCAGGGAAACUGGUCAUCAGGCGAACUGCGGCGUUCUGCUGGCAAAACAUAGCUUUCGGUUAUGUCAAUGGCUAUUGGAUUGGUC
rfam:Trichomonas vaginalis G3, whole genome shotgun sequence.